rnacentral:lncRNA from 1 species
CCGCAAUUUCGUUCAGAACGGUCCCUGAGCACAUGGUAGAGACUAAGACCAUUGAGUCUGAGUAAAUGUGGAGAGUGGUUACACACAUUCGCCUUCAGUGGGCUUCAAAGAGCUUCUCGAAAGCCAAAGCUUCAGCAGUGAGGGCGGAUCCAACCUUGGAGCGGAAGGAGGAGUCUUUUAUGGUGGGAGCAGUAGCUGAGCAUGUUAAGGUCCAUCCCAUACCUGCAAGCAAAGAUGAUUCUUGCCAAGCUCCAUCCACAAAGCAAUUUGGAAAACGUAAAUUAUCACCAGCUAUAAGAGGAGUUGGCGAAGAGGCAAGAUUUGGAACUGGUUGGAGGGCCUCCUCCCAUCCUUUUGCAGCUAGGACUGCCUUUGCGAUACAGUUUUGGACUGAGAUGGAUUUGUCUUCAAAGAAGUAAGUUCCUGGCCGUCCAUAGCGUCCAAAGGAACCAAGGGAUCAGCGGAGUUGAGACCAGAGUAAAAGCUGGCAGGUUGAUGUCAUAUUGGAUCCUUGCUAACAUGUUUUGAAUGUUUUGGGUACCAGCCUGUUGGCCGUCUGUGAAAGACAGAGG